UUGAAGAUCGGGCCCCAGGUCUUCUACCCCGUAUAUGUUGUGUUUUGCGACCUCCGCGUGGCUCGUGCAAUCACGCGACCACUGGUUACAAAUGGCUGCCUCGCUUCGAUUUGCACCAAGAAAGGAGCAAUGGUCAAUCAUCCGUUUCCUUGUGAGUGAAAGUGUGAAACCCAUUGGCAUCCACCGUCGCACGAAGGCACAGUAUGGUAGUGCCUGCGCUGCCUGCAUAGAUGUACCACUGGAACAAGUGCAUGAAUGAAUGGUAAGCUCGCAGGAGGCAACCCUAACAUGAAUUGGACGCCACGGCCUGGUAACCCGCAGCACACCGCUGUAGCGGCCGAAGCUACCGAAACCCCAUUUUUGGGGGGAUCAUCAUGGUAUACAGUUGGUGAACGUUCACUGCCAAGGGGAUAAACAGUGAACAACGAAACAUACUGAGAUUUCCUGGCAUCAUAAUUAAAGCCCGCCACCAGAACAAAACGUUGUGGACUGCUCGCAAAGAGUGGAUUGCUCCAACAUGACCGGUCACGUAUGAACAACGUAUGACUACUUCAACCAUCCGUGAUCUUCCAUCUGAGUUUCUUCUACGUCCGCCAUAUUCACCUGACCUCGCGUCGUCGGAAUAUCACAUGUUCGACGGCCUCAAGAAGGGUCUUUGUGGCGGGAAGAUUGGUUCCGACGAAGACGUCAGGAGAGCGGUGCGUGAAUAUCUACGUUCUUCUCUGUUGGAAUGCAAGCGCUUCAAGCGCACUGCAUAAGCGUUGCAUUAAGCGCCUUUUCCGGUCUAUAUUUGACUUCCGGGUACCCACUUCCGGUCUAAACCCGACUUCCGGUAUCGACUUUUGGACUAUACUUGACUUCCAGUUCGGCACUUCCAAUUACUAUAUCCCUCGGGAGACACCGAAGCCGCUGUUCUCGCGCCUGCGAAAUGUCGUGCAAGACAGAAAGUGCUGACGGCGACGUUGUAUUGGUGGUCUGGUGGUGGAUUGGUGGUCCAGAUGCAGACGUCAUCAGGAAUCAGGAUAGAUGUGGCUGUGGGCGCAGUGCAGGACUUCACGCCCGCCAUUACAACGUUAAAAAGUAUAUUGCUUCCUUCCUUGUGGUACCUCGUGAGUCAACCCGACUUUCGGCGUGACCCCUUCUUGCGUGCGGAUGAAGGUUUUCUGUGUCAUAAAAAAUCAGUCAAUCACAAGAAAAUUCUGUGGGGUACACCAACUUCAACAAUACGCGCAGAACUAGGGUAUGACUGACGGUAUCAUAUUUUCUCUUGACGUUCUGGAAUACUGCCAUGACUAUUUCCUUCUGGCUCUUGGCUUGCUGGACGCUGAUGAGGAGAUCGAAGACCGAAUCUACGAAUGGCAUCUCUUCGGGAAAGGUACGAUGGCCCUCAAGAAACCUUUCUUGUCUAUGCAAUACCAUUCGUUCCAAAACUUUACCAAGGCAACUUAUCGGGCUAACUGGACGAAAUGAUGAAAGGCGAUAUGGAUGCAUUCCGGACUUUAUUUCCAGAUCUUCGGCACUCCAUGACGCCUUGAAGACGUGGAGUAGACACGAAAUACCGUCGUUGCUGAGGUUUCAGAUGGCCCAUAAGUGGUUCCGUUAAAGGGACGGUCGCAACGGGAAACCCAUCUAUGAGACCGGUACCACUGUAUUCGGCAUCGGCCGACAAUCUACCCGAGUAAU